rnacentral:rRNA from 1 species
CCUACGGGUGGCAGCAGUGGGGAAUAUUGGACAAUGGGGGGAACCCUGAUCCAGCCAUGCCGCGUGUGUGAAGAAGGCCCUCGGGUUGUAAAGCACUUUCAGUGAGGAAGAACGCCUGGUGGUUAAUACCCAUCAGGAAAGACAUCACUCACAGAAGAAGCACCGGCUAACUCCGUGCCAGCAGCCGCGGUAAUACGGAGGGUGCGAGCGUUAAUCGGAAUUACUGGGCGUAAAGCGCGCGUAGGUCGCUUGAUAAGCCGGUUGUGAAAGCCCCGGGCUCAACCUGGGAACGGCAUCCGGAACUGUCAAGGUAGAGUGCAGGAGAGGAAGGUAGAAUUCCCGGGGGAGCGGUGAAAUGCGUAGAGAUCGGGAGGAAUACCAGUGGCGAAGGCGGCCUUCUGGACUGGCACUGACACUGAGGUGCGAAAGCGUGGGUAGCAAACAGGAUUAGAUACCCCAGUAGUC